rnacentral:misc_RNA from 1 species
AACAAAGCACCCUCUUCAAGGAUACAAAGUAGUCAUCUGUAACUCCGUUCAUGCUCCAAUAAAUAAAAGACAAAUUAUACUAAUCUCUGUAAUUUGAAUUUUGUCCAACAGAGAAUGAGAAUUAUUCUCAUUGCAUGAAGUUACAUUUUCUUACACAUCAGAAUUUCCUAAAGAUCGAACUUAGACUAAGGCACAACCUCUUGCCAUAACAAUAAAGACUUGAGACUUGAUGUCAAAAAAAUAAAGACUAAAGAUCUAUAAUUGACAAGAAAAAAUGAUGCAAUCACCAUUGCCAGUCCUGCCGCCACCCACAAAAAUUAAAGGUUUUGUUUGGAUCAUAUAAUAGCAUAGAGUAAGAAUAUAAUGGCUGUUUUAUGGCCAUAGAACAACUACUUUCAGUCUCUCACUUAUAUGUGAAAUUUGUAU